GAUGAACGCUAGCGGCAGGCCUAAUACAUGCAAGUCGAACGAUAUUAUCCAGCUUGCUGGAUAUGAAAGUGGCGCACGGGUGCGUAACGCGUAUGCAACCUACCUUAUUCAGGGGGAUAGCCCGAAGAAAUUCGGAUUAACACCGCAUAAAAUCACAGUUCAGCAUUGGACAAUGAUCAAAUAUUUAUAGGAAUAAGAUGGGCAUGCGUGUCAUUAGCUAGUUGGCGGGGUAACGGCCCACCAAGGCGACGAUGACUAGGGGAUCUGAGAGGGUGGCCCCCCACACUGGUACUGAGACACGGACCAGACUCCUACGGGAGGCAGCAGUAAGGAAUAUUGGUCAAUGGAGGGAACUCUGAACCAGCCAUGCCGCGUGCAGGAAGACGGCCCUCUGGGUUGUAAGCUGCUUUUAUUCGGGAAUAAACCUAUUUACGUGUAAAUAGCUGAAUGUACCGAAGGAAUAAGGAUCGGCUAACUCCGUGCCAGCAGCCGCCGUAA
rnacentral:rRNA from 1 species